UCAUUGAAAAUAAUAAUUUGUUCUUAACUGACUUUCCUUAUUUAAUAAUAAAAACUGUUGUGCUGAACCUCCCUUGCUACGUUCAGCACAUGGGGGCCCGAUUCAGACUUGAGAUAAAUAGACUUAAAAGUCAACAUUCCAAGUCCAUGUUAAAUCACCUUAUCUGAAUAGGGAGAAUCUUUUUUUUGUGUCAAAUUUCACCAUCAUUUUUUUCUUUGCUUUGUUUAGACAGAUUUCAAACCAGAAGAGACAGAGAAGGAGUGAAAGUUGAACAGGUGGAAGUGGGAAGUGAACCCCGACUAACUGAGGCAAGAUCGCCUCCCCCCUGUAUUCGGGUCCUUCAUGAACUCAGACGGGUGAGAGCAACACACCAAACGCUCAGAUGAAACUCUCCGUAACAACCCAGGAAAGUGGUGCGGCAAAGAAAAC